rnacentral:SRP_RNA from 1 species
GCCAGGCAUGGUGGUGCGUGCCUGUAGUCCCAGCUACCUGGGAGGCUGAGGUGGGAGAUUCACCUGAGCCCAGGAGUUCCAGGUUGCAGUGAGCCAUGAUUGCCCCACUGACUGUACUCUAGCCUGGGUAACAGAGCAAGACCCCAUCUCUA